rnacentral:rRNA from 1 species
UACGUAGGAGGCAAGCGUUGUCCGGAAUCAUUGGGCGUAAAGGGCGCGUAGGUGGCGGGACAAGCGUGCGGUGAAAGCCUGGGGCUCAACCCCGGGUCGGCCGUGCGAACUGUUUUGCUUGAGCACUGUAGAGGCAGGCGGAAUUCCGGGUGUAGCGGUGGAAUGCGUAGAGAUCCGGAAGAACACCGGUGGCGAAGGCGGCCUGCUGGGCAGUAGCUGACACUGAGGCGCGACAGCGUGGGGAGCAAACAGG